ACGAACGCUGGCGGCGUGCUUAACACAUGCAAGUCGAACGGAUAGGCCCUGCUUUUGUGGGGUGCUCGAGUGGCGAACGGGUGAGUAACACGUGAGUAACCUGCCCUUGACUUUGGGAUAACUUCAGGAAACUGGGGCUAAUACCGGAUAGGAGCUCCUGCUGCAUGGUGGGGGUUGGAAAGUUUCGGCGGUUGGGGAUGGACUCGCGGCUUAUCAGCUUGUUGGUGGGGUAGUGGCUUACCAAGGCUUUGACGGGUAGCCGGCCUGAGAGGGUGACCGGCCACAUUGGGACUGAGAUACGGCCCAGACUCCUACGGGAGGCAGCAGUGGGGAAUAUUGCACAAUGGGCGGAAGCCUGAUGCAGCAACGCCGCGUGCGGGAUGACGGCCUUCGGGUUGUAAACCGCUUUCGCCUGUGACGAAGCGUGAGUGACGGUAAUGGGUAAAGAAGCACCGGCUAACUACGU
rnacentral:rRNA from 1 species